rnacentral:rRNA from 1 species
AGGACGAACGCUGGCGGCGUGCUUAACACAUGCAAGUCGAACGGUGAAGUCCCUUCGGGGGCGGAUCAGUGGCGAACGGGUGAGUAACACGUGGGCAACCUGCCCCUAGCUCUGGGAUAACCCCGGGAAACCGGGGCUAAAUACCGGAUAUGACCCUGAUAGACAUCUGUCAGGGUGGAAAGUUUUUCGGCUAGGGAUGGGCCCGCGGCCUAUCAGCUUGUUGGUGAGGUAACGGCCCACCAAGGCGACGACAGGUAGCCGGCCUGAGAGGGGCGACCGGGCCAACGACUGGGACUGAGACACGGCCCAGACUCCUACGGGAGGCAGCAGUGGGGAAUAUUGCGCAAUGGGCGAAAGCCUGACGCAGCGACGCCGCGUGGGGGAUGAAGGCCUUCGGGUUGUAAACCUCUUUCAGCUCUGACGAAGCGAGAGUGACGGUAGGAGCAGAGAAGCACCGGCAACUACGUGCCAGCAGCCGC